rnacentral:rRNA from 1 species
GAUGAACGCUGGCGGCGUGCCUAAUACAUGCAAGUCGAGCGAACGGACGAGAAGCUUGCUUCUCUGAUGUUAGCGGCGGACGGGUGAGUAACACGUGGAUAACCUACCUAUAAGACUGGGAUAACUUCGGGAAACCGGAGCUAAUACCGGAUAAUAUUUUGAACCGCAUGGUUCAAAAGUGAAAGACGGUCUUGCUGUCACUUAUAGAUGGAUCCGCGCUGCAUUAGCUAGUUGGUAAGGUAACGGCUUACCAAGGCAACGAUGCAUAGCCGACCUGAGAGAGUGAUAGGCCACCCUGGAACUGAGACAGGGUCAAGACUCCUACGGGAGGCAGCAGUAGGGAAUCUUCCGCAAUGGGCGAAAGCCUGGCGGAGCAACGCCGCGUGAGUGAUGAAGGUCUUCGGAUCGUAAAACUCUGUUAUUAGGGAAGAACAUAUGUGUAAGUAACUGUGCACAUCUUGACGGUACCUAAUCAGAAAGCCACGGCUAACUACGUG